CGAGACAAGCACGUACCAUUUAAAUAAUGGCGCCAAGCGGCUAGGUUUGACAGUUACUCUCCCCUCGGCCUCCCCGCCCCCAUUCUCGCUCUGCAGAGGCCUCCAGGGAAGGGACCGAGCUAGAGGGACGCUGGCCUGAGCCCCGCCCCUCGGGAUCGGCGGAACCCUUUGGCCAAGCUUCGAUGCCUACUGUCGUAGAAACAAUAAUGACCCCUCCCCCAACCAGCAAGGCAUUUUCAGCACCUGCUACCUGCGAGGUUAUGCGUGGGCCAAAAGUAACAAUCCGUUAAGUUUAAGGAGCACUUGAAGCAUUUCUGGACUUGUUGGCUCAGAUCCUCCUCGUAACGCGGUGAGAUAAGCAAAGAAGAGAUUGUUCUUCCAUGCAAUAUUUGGGAUCGAACCCAGGGCCUUAUACAUGCUGGGCAAGUACUCUACCACUCCAGCCCAGAAACCCUUGAAUUUAUCACUGAUCAGUCAGAAGUAUGGGUUGGACUACAACUGGUUCUUCCUCAUUCUGGGAAUGAAGAUCCCACGUGCCACAGUCCAUGUUGUCAGCGUGCCUCUCUUCCUUUGGCCCUCUAAACUAGAAGCGGUCAGAAAAGACUGAGCUAAAGCCAGAAGGCAGUAGAUCCUGGUCUCACAGAAGCCACUUAACAGUCAGGUGCUACUGGAAAAAACAGAGACAGAAGUCAAGUGACUCUCUCCAUGUACAGCUGGCCUUCAAUGUCUGUGUAUCCUACAUCCGCAGAGUUGCCAACUAUGGGUCAAAAAUAUGGGGAGAAAACUGUUAUAUUGAGAAUGUUCAGAAUUUUAGGGGGGCUCAUUAUUCCCAUAACGAUAGAGUGCUAUAGCUGUUUACAUACAUUGUGUUAGAUAUUAUUAAGUAAUUUAGAGAUGAUUUAAAGUACAGAGAGAGGAGGACAUGCAUAGGUUAUAUGCAAAUACUAUACCAUUUGACAUGAGAGAGUUGAGCAUCCUGGGAUUUGGGUAUUUGUGAAGGUCCUGGAAAUAAUAUGAAUGGGGGGAAGCCUUUGUCCUUAAUUUCAGUUGAAGUAACAAGAAGCUGUUUCCCUUCUGUCCCAUCAGAAAGAGCCUCAGGAGCACGCUCAGUCAGGUAUCAGGUUGGGCAUCUGCCUGUGUCUUGUUUUGUCUUCACACAUCAUGCCUGGACCUUCAGACCUCAUGACUGGGACACUGUACUCACAUUUGUCAACCUCUCCCUUUGAGGAACUGGCCAGUGUUCUCUAAACUCCCAACUUCU